AUACGUAGGUGGCAAGCGUUAUCCGGAUUUACUGGGUGUAAAGGGCGCGUAGGCGGGGAUGCAAGUCAGAUGUGAAAUCUCGCGGCUCCACCCCUAAACUGCAUUUGAAACUGCAUCUCUUGAGUGUCGGAGAGGAUGACGGAAUUCCUAGUGUAGCGGUGAAAUGCGUAGAUAUUAGGAGGAACACCAGUGGCGAAGGCGGUCAACUGGACGAUAACUGACGCUGAGGCGCGAAAGCGUGGGGAGCAAACAGGAUUAGAUCCCCUGGUAGUCCACGCCGUAAACGAUGAAUACUAGGUGUGGGGGGACUGACCCCCUCCGUGCCGCAGUUAACACAAUAGGUAUUCCACCUGGGGAGUACGGCCGCAAGGUUGAAACUCAAAUGAAUUGACGGGG
rnacentral:rRNA from 1 species